GACGAACGCUGGCGGCGUGCUUAACACAUGCAAGUCGAACGAGUGGCGAACGGGUGAGUAACGCGUGGGUGAUCUGCCUUGCACUUCGGGAUAAGCUUGGGAAACUGGGUCUAAUACCGGAUAGUGCGAGAUGGGCUCGCGGCCUAUCAGCUUGUGGGUGGGGUAAUGGCUACCAAGGCGCGACGGGUAGCCGGCCUGAGGGGGUGUACGGAAACAUUGGGACUGGGAUAGAGCCCAGGACCGUACGGGAGGGAGAGGUGGGGAAUAGUGAACAAUGGGAGGACGGGUGAUGCAGCGACGCCGCGUGGGGGAGAAAGGCCUGCGGGUUGUAAACUCAUAUCGACAGGAAAGCGGGACCUGUAUAAGAAGCACCGGCUAACUACGUGCCAGCAGCCGCGGUAAUAC
rnacentral:rRNA from 1 species